GGGUCAGUAGGUUGGUCGUGCCACCGGUACGUACUGGUCUCACUGAUUCCUCCUUCCUGAAGAACCGUAAUGCCAUUAAUUUGGUGUUGCGGGGAAACAGGACUGUUACUUUGAAAAAAUUAGAGUGUUUAAUGCAAGCUAACGCUUGAAUACAUUAGCAUGGAAUAAUGAAACAGGACGAUCGAUCCUAUUUUGUUGGUUUCUAUGAUUGACGUA
rnacentral:rRNA from 1 species